GACGAACGCUGGCGGCGUGCUUAACACAUGCAAGUCGAACGGAAAGGCCCUGCUUUUGUGGGGUGCUCGAGUGGCGAACGGGUGAGUAACACGUGAGUAACCUGCCCUUGACUUUGGGAUAACUUCAGGAAACUGGGGCUAAUACCUGAUAGGAGCUCCUGCUGCAUGGUGGGGGUUGGAAAGUUUCGGCGGUUGGGGAUGGACUCGCGGCUUAUCAGCUUGUUGGUGGGGUAGUGGCUUACCAAGGCUUUGACGGGUAGCCGGACUGAGAGGGUGACCGGCCACAUAGGGACUGGGGAGCGGGCCAGAGGGCUACGGGAGGCAGGAGUGGGGAAUAUUGCACAAUGGGCGGAAGCCGGAUGCAGCAACGCCGGGUGCGGGAUGACGGCCUGCGGGUAGUAAACCGCUUUAGCCUGUGACGAAGCGUGAGUGACGGUAAUGGGUAAAGAAGCACCGGCUAACUACGU
rnacentral:rRNA from 1 species